rnacentral:tRNA from 1 species
AGGGCAAUAGCUCAGUGGUAGAGCUCCGGCCUCAUACGCGGGAAGACCUGGGUUCGAUUCCCGGCUGUUUUC